UACGGAAGGCAGCAGUGGGGAAUAUUGCACAAUGGGCGCAAGCCUGAUGCAGCCAUGCCGCGUGUAUGAAGAAGGCCUUCGGGUUGUAAAGUACUUUCAGUCGUGAGGAAGGUGUUAAGGUUAAUAACCUUAGCAAUUGACGUUAGCGACAGAAGAAGCACCGGCUAACUCCGUGCCAGCAGCCGCGGUAAUACGGAGGGUGCGAGCGUUAAUCGGAAUUACUGGGCGUAAAGGGCACGCAGGCGGUUAAUUAAGUUGGAUGUGAAAUCCCCGGGCUUAACCUGGGAAUGGCAUUCAAGACUGGUUAGCUAGAGUCUUGUAGAGGGGGUAGAAUUCCGAUGUGUAGCGGUGAAAUGCGUAGAGAUGUGGAGGAAUACCGGUGGCGAAGGCGGCCCCUGGACAAAGGCUGACGCUCAUGUGCGAAAGCGUGGGGAGCAAACGAGGAUUAGA
rnacentral:rRNA from 1 species